CAAUCCCCUGUCUCUAUAUCAGACUACCAGGUUGACCAUCACAAUCCCCUGUCUCUAUAUCAGACUACCAGGUUGACCAUCACAAUCCCCUGUCUCUAUAUCAGACUACCAGGUUGACCAUCACAAUCCCCUGUCUCUAUAUCAGACUACCAGGUUGACCAUCACAAUCCCCUGUCUCUAUAUCAGACUACCAGGUCUCUAUAUCAGACUACCAGGUUGACCAUCACAAUCCCCUGUCUCUAUAUCAGACUACCAGGUUGACCAUCACAAUCCCCUGUCUCUAUAUCAGACUACCAGGUUGACCAUCACAAUCCCCUGUCUCUAUAUCAGACUACCAGGUUGACCAUCACAAUCCCCUGUCUCUAUAUCAGACUACCAGGUUGACCAUCACAAUCCCCUGUCUCUAUAUCAGACUACCAGGU